UAGGAAAUUGCAUACCAUUAGCC
rnacentral:siRNA from 1 species